rnacentral:rRNA from 1 species
UACAGAGGGUGCAAACGUUGCUCGGAGUUACUGGGCGUAAAGCGCGUGUAGGCGGUGCCGCACGUCCGGUGUGAAAGCCCAGGGCUCAACCCUGGAAGUGCACUGGAUACGACGGCGCUGGAGUCCUGAAGAGGAGGGCGGAAUUCCCGGUGUAGAGGUGAAAUUCGUAGAUAUCGGGAGGAACACCAGUGGCGAAGGCGGCUCUCUGGACAGGUACUGAACGCUGAGACGCGAAAGCGUGGGUAGCAAACGAGGA